rnacentral:rRNA from 1 species
CGGUUGAUCCUGCCGGAGGCCACUGCUAUGGGGGUCCGACUAAGCCAUGCGAGUCAUGGGGCGCGCUCUGCGCGCACCGGCGGACGGCUCAGUAACACGUCGGUAACCUACCCUCGGGAGGGGGAUAACCCCGGGAAACUGGGGCUAAUCCCCCAUAGGCCUGAGGUACUGGAAGGUCCUCAGGCCGAAAGGGUCUUUGACCGCCCGAGGAUGGGCCGGCGGCCGAUUAGGUAGUUGGUGGGGUAACGGCCCACCAAGCCGAAGAUCGGUACGGGCCAUGAGAGUGGGAGCCCGGAGAUGGACACUGAGACACGGGUCCAGGCCCUACGGGGCGCAGCAGGCGCGAAACCUCCGCAAUGCGGGCAACCGCGACGGGGGGACCCCCAGUGCCGUGGCAUCGCCACGGCUUUUCCGGAGUGUAAAAAGCUCCGGGAAUAAGGGCUGGGCAAGGCCGGUGGCAGCCGCCGCGGUAAUACCGGCGGCCCGAGUGGUGGCCGCUAUUAUUGGGCCUAAAGCGUCCGUAGCCGGGCCCGUAAGUCCCUGGCGAAAUCCCACGGCUCAACCGUGGGGCUUGCUGGGGAUACUGCGGGCCUUGGGACCGGGAGAGGCCGGGGGUACCCCUGGGGUAGGGGUGAAAUCCUAUAAUCCCAGGGGGACCGCCAGUGGCGAAGGCGCCCGGCUGGAACGGGUCCGACGGUGAGGGACGAAGGCCAGGGGAGCGAACCGGAUUAGAUACCCGGGUAGUCCUGGCUGUAAAGGAUGCGGGCUAGGUGUCGGGUGGGCUUCGAGCUCGCCCGGUGCCGAAGGGAAGCCGUUAAGCCCGCCGCCUGGGGAGUACGGCCGCAAGGCUGAAACUUAAAGGAAUUGGCGGGGGAGCA